AGAUUUCCCCUGGGAAAAUAAAAAAAAAAGCAAAGCAGGUUGUGAGGAUAUAUAACCCAAAUGUAAGCAUGUGUUUUGCCUUGAAGGAACACUAACUGCUCAUGGGAGAAGAAGGUAAAAAAUCUUCUUUUACCUCUAUUCCAUCUCGUCCUGGAAUUCCAUUGAGACCUGGCUCCCCCUAUGAAUAAUCCAACAUCAAGAUCAGUGAAAUAAGUAUAAGAUUGUAUUGUCCUGAUUAACUGAGUAGAUACCUCAUUGCAGUACAGGCAGCAUACCAGCUCCCUCUUUUUACCGUUUGAUGAUUUUACACAUUAUAUAUAAGCUUUUAAUUUGUAAAGAAUCUUAGUCUUUACUAUAGCAAAAGGGUGUAGGUGAUGUUCAAAACACUCACAGGUGGAAAGUACAUGGGCACUAUUAGGAUAGUCUUUUCAUAUUAAUGAAGUACCAACUCUUUCUCCUAAACCUGAAAAAUCACAUUACCUUUGUUCCUUUCAGGCCUGGAGCUCCAUCAUCACCAGUGCGACCCUUUUUACCCUGAAAACAAUGAAAUAAAAGUAACAAAAUUC